GUACUGUACUGUCAUUCAGACAGCUGUGGUGUUCCAGGAGAAGGUACUGUUAUUCAGACAGCUGUGGUGUUCCAGGAGAAGGUACUGUACUGUCAUUCAGACAGCUGUGGUGUUACAGGAGAAGGUACUGUACUGUUAUUCAGACAGCUGUGGUGUUCCAGGAGAAGGUACUGUACUGUUAUUCAGACAGCUGUGGUGUUACAGGAGAAUGUACUGUACUGUCAUUCAGACAGCUGUGGUGUUCCAGGAGAAUGUACUGUCAUUCAGACAGCUGUGGUGUUACAGGAGGAGGUACUGUACUGUCAUUCAGACAGCUGUGGUGUUACAGGAGAAGGUACUGUACUGUCAUUCAGACAGCUGUGGUGUUCCAGGAGAAUGUACCGUCAUUCAGACAGCUGUGGUGUUACAGGAGGAGGUACUGUACUGUCAUUUAGACAGCUGUGGUGUUACAGGAGA